rnacentral:rRNA from 1 species
CCUACGGGUGGCAGCAGUGGGGAAUAUUGGGCAAUGGUCGCAAGCCUGACCCAGCAACGCCGCGUGAAGGAAGAAGGCUUUCGGGUUGUAAACUUCUUUUCUCAGGGACGAAGCAAGUGACGGUACCUGAGGAAUAAGCCACGGCGAACUACGUGCCAGCAGCCGCGGGAAUACGUAGGUGGCAAGCGUUAUCCGGAUUUACUGGGUGUAAAGGGCGGGUAGGCGGGACUGCAAGUCAGAUGGGAAAACCACGGGUUCAACCUGUGGCCUGGCUUUGAAACUGUAGUUCUUGAGUACUGGAGAGGCAGACGGAAUGCCUGGUGUAGCGGUGAAAUGCGUAGAUAUCAGGAGGAACACCAGUGGCGAAGGCGGUCUGCUGGACAGCAACUGACGCUGAGGCGCGAAAGCGUGGGGAGCGAACAGGAUUAGAUACCCGGGUAGUC